CAAAAGGUGUUUUUUAACACCAUGUGUCAAUUUCAAAACAUGUCUGU
rfam:Callipepla squamata strain Texas jcf7180005231024, whole genome shotgun sequence.